GAUGAACGCUGGCGGCGUGCCUCAAACAUGCAAGUCGAGCGGGGCUAUGUAAUAUCGCAAGGUAGAACAUAGCCUAGCGGCGAACGGGUGAGUAACACGUGGGUAACCUGCCUGGAAGACAGGGAUAACGAUUCGAAAGGGUCGCUAAUACCUGAUAAUAUCCUUUCAUCGCAUGGUGAUAGGAAGAAAGGGGAAACCCGCUUUCAGAUGGGCCCGCGUCCCAUCAGCUAGUUGGUAAGGUAAAGGCUUACCAAGGCGACGACGGGUAGCCGGUCUGAGAGGAUGUACGGCCACACUGGGACUGAGAUACGGCCCAGACUCCUACGGGAGGCAGCAGUUGGGAAUCUUAGGCAAUGGACGAAAGUCUGACCUAGCGACGCCGCGUGAGGGAAGAAGGCCUUCGGGUUGUAAACCUCUGUCAUGGGGGAAGAAGUAAGUGACGGUACCCAAGAGGAAGCCCCUGCUAACUACGUGCCAGCAGCCGACGGUAAAAGUCUCUAU
rnacentral:rRNA from 1 species